rnacentral:rRNA from 1 species
AGUGAACGCUGGCGGUAGGCCUAACAUAUGCAAGUCGAACGGCAGCACAGUAAGAGCUUGCUCUUACGGGUGGCGAGUGGCGGACGGGUGAGGAAUACAUCGGAAUCUACUUUUUCGUGGGGGAUAACGUAGGGAAACUUACGCUAAUACCGCAUACGACCUACGGGUGAAAGCAGGGGAUCUUCGGACCUUGCGCGAUUGAAUGAGCCGAUGUCGGAUUAGCUAGUUGGCGGGGUAAAGGCCCACCAAGGCGACGAUCCGUAGCUGGUCUGAGAGGAUGAUCAGCCACACUGGAACUGAGACACGGUCCAGACUCCUACGGGAGGCAGCAGUGGGGAAUAUUGGACAAUGGGCGCAAGCCUGAUCCAGCCAUACCGCGUGGGUGAAGAGGGCCUUCGGGUUGUAAAGCCCUUUUGUUGGGAAAGAAAAGCAGCAGGUUAAUACCCCGCUGUUCUGACGGUACCCAAAGAAUAAGCACCGGCUAACUUCGUG